UCUUAUUGAUUAUAAUUUUAAGUCUAAUCUGCCCAAUGAUAUUUUAUUUAAUGGCUGCAGUAUUUAUAACUGUACAAAGGUAGCAUAAUAAUUAGUUUUUUAAUUGAAAACUAGAAUGAAAGAUUAAAUGAAAUAUAUACUAUAUAAAUAAAAUUAAAAAUUAAAAUUAAAAUUUAAGUAAAAAUUCUUAAAUUAUUUUAAAAGACGAGAAGACCCUAUAGAAUUUUAUUUUUUGUUAUUUUAAAAUUUAAUAAUAAAUUUAAAUAAAUAAUAAAAAAUUUAAUUGGGGUAAUUUUAAAAUUAAAUUAAUUUUUAUUUAAAAAACAUAAAUUAAUGAAUUUUUAAUCUUAAAAUUUAGAUUAAAAAAAUAAAUUACC
rnacentral:rRNA from 1 species